AUUGAUUCUUAUUCAACAAACCAGUAGUUAUGCAAACUAUGGAUUAGGGCACCCUGGGAAUUCCAACUGUUUCCAACAAUUUGAAAUUAGCCGAAAGGCAAGUGCUCUUUGUAUUGAUGGCCUGAGGCAUCAACACACCUUCAGCCCAGCUGGUGUCCAGUACAGGUUCGUUUUGUGGUGCAGCCUCGACAAGCUCAUUACCUGCCUUGUUUCAUCCUACAAAAGAGGUAUUGUGAAAAAGCCCAGACAAACCAAUAAAAGCUCCAUGUACCAA